GGGGUUGUAGCUCAGUGGUAGAGCGCUCGCUUUGCAUGCGAGAGGUCAAGGGUUCGAUCCCCUUCAGCUCCA
rfam:Aspergillus brasiliensis CBS 101740 unplaced genomic scaffold ASPBRscaffold_3, whole genome shotgun sequence.